rnacentral:rRNA from 1 species
UGAGGAAUAUUGGUCAAUGGGCGAGAGCCUGAACCAGCCAAGUAGCGUGCAGGACGACGGCCCUAUGGGUUGUAAACUGCUUUUAUACGGGAAUAAAGUGAUGCCUGCGGGCGUUAUUGCAUGUACCGUACGAAUAAGGACCGGCUAAUUCCGUGCCAGCAGCCGCGGUAAUACGGAAGGUCCGGGCGUUAUCCGGAUUUAUUGGGUUUAAAGGGAGCGUAGGCUGUUCUGCAAGUCAGCGGUGAAAGCCCGGGCUCAACCCCGGAAAUGCCGUUGAUACUGCGGGGCUGGAAUACGGAUGCCGUGGGAGGAAUGAGUAGUGUAGCGGUGAAAUGCAUAGAUAUUACUCAGAACACCGAUUGCGAAGGCAUCUCACGAAUCCGUUAUUGACGCUGAGGCA